rfam:Salimicrobium flavidum strain DSM 23127 genome assembly, contig: Ga0111645_122
GCUUCCAUAGCUCAGUGGUAGAGCACUUCCAUGGUAAGGAAGGGGUCGCCGGUUCAAAUCCGGCUGGAAGCU